UACGUAGGGUGCGAGCGUUAAUCGGAAUUACUGGGCGUAAAGCGUGCGCAGGCGGUUUUGUAAGACAGGGGUGAAAUCCCCGGGCUUAACCUGGGAACUGCGCUUGUGACUGCAAGACUCGAGUACGGCAGAGGGGGUAGAAUUCCACGUGUAGCAGUGAAAUGCGUAGAGAUGUGGAGGAAUACCGAUGGCGAAGGCAGCCCCCUGGGUCGAUACUGACGCUCAUGCACGAAAGCGUGGGGAGCAAACAGG
rnacentral:rRNA from 1 species